UGUUGCCUCGGCGGAUCAGCCCGCUCCCGGUAAAACGGGACGGCCCGCCAGAGGACCCCUAAACUCUGUUUCUAUAUGUAACUUCUGAGUAAAACCAUAAAUAAAUCAAAACUUUCAACAACGGAUCUCUUGGUUCUGGCAUCGAUGAAGAACGCAGCAAAAUGCGAUAAGUAAUGUGAAUUGCAGAAUUCAGUGAAUCAUCGAAUCUUUGAACGCACAUUGCGCCCGCCAGUAUUCUGGCGGGCAUGCCUGUUCGAGCGUCAUUUCAACCCUCAAGCACAGCUUGGUGUUGGGACUCGCGUUAAUUCGCGUUCCUCAAAUUGAUUGGCGGUCACGUCGAGCUUCCAUAGCGUAGUAGUAAAACCCUCGUUACUGGUAAUCGUCGCGGCCACGCCGUUAAACCCCAACUUCUGAAUGUUGACCUCGGAUCAGGUAGGAAUACCCGCUGAACUUAAGCAUA
rnacentral:rRNA from 1 species